rnacentral:rRNA from 1 species
CCCUUAGACGUUCUGGGCCGCACGCGCGCUACACUGACCAGUGCAACAAGCAUCCGUCCUUGGCCGACAGGCCCGGGCAAUCUUUGAACGCUGUUCGUGAUUGGGAUAGACCUUUGCAAUUAUGGGUCUUCAACGAGGAAUUCCUAGUAAACGCAAGUCAUCAGCUUGCAUUGAUUACGUCCCUGCCCUUUGUACACACCGCCCGUGGCACCUACCGAUUGAAUGGUCCGGUGAAAUCUCGGGACGGCGGCUUGGUCGCUUGCGUCCGACUGCUGAAACUUGAUUAAACCAUNUNAUUUAGNGGAAGGUGAANUCGUANCA